rnacentral:lncRNA from 1 species
UGCAUUUUCUGGAGAACAAAAAGCCCACCUGUUUGUAAGGCAUCCUGGUAUGUUUAGAAUUUCUCAUUGAUUUCAGGAACUCUGGCCUUGAUGUUAAAGAAAGUGAUCACAGACCUUUGUUUAAGGCAGGCAGGGAUGCAUCUGACUGUCAGGGAAACAACACAUCUCUGGGGGAACAAAGACAGCGCAUCUUUGUAAAAAAAAAAAAUCACAGGCCAGGUGCGGUGGCUCAUGCCUGUAAUCCCAG